CAGUAGGCAUGUGACUGCAGCUGGUCUUUUGGGACACUCGCUUCAGGGCCCUGGGUCACCAGGCAAGAAGCCCAGGGUUCUCUGACUCCACGCUCCCAAGAGAGGCAGAUGUGAGCGUAGUCACUCCACCUUCAUGUCCCAGCAGGGCUCCUUGCUUUUAAUAGGUAAUGUGUACGGAGAUUCUCCAAGGGUGCCUUGGGGCCUGGCGUUCCUGUCCACGGCAGCAGAAGGCUGAUGGGCCAGGCCCAGUCCCACAGAGAAGCCAUCUAAGACCCCAAAAGCAUCAAGAGACCUCCAGGCACAGCUGGGCAGCUCAAAACCAAAGCAAACAAGCGCACACAGAGAAGCCCAUUCUCCGAGGCCCAGGAGGAGCGGCCUGGCUCCUGUCGGGUUACCUCAGGCCUGCACAGAGCCCGCUGUGUUCCGCAAGCUGCGCCUGGCCAAGGUGCCUCCCAGGCCUGACCAGGAGGCAGGCCACCCCCCGGGGAAGAGCGGCCUCAGUGCUACAUUCUCUUCACGGGCUCACAGAGCCUCACACAGCCGGGUGGACCAUGAGGCCACAGGAAAGCCCUUUUUGAAAAAAGUGGGGUUCUGGUGGGGUGCAGAGAGCUUUCCCCAGAAUACCAGGAUGGCUCUCCCAAUGCAGUCAAAUAAGUUUUUACCUCUGAUGACUCU